rfam:Picea glauca, whole genome shotgun sequence.
AUGUACAUGCAUACAUUGUUAGUGCACCAGAUCCCAUUAGAAACCUCCACUUAAGUGCACUUUGGCUAGAGUAGUACUAGGAUGGGUGACCUCCUAGGAAGUCCUAGUGUUUUACAUG